rnacentral:rRNA from 1 species
UGAACGCUGGCGGCGUGCCUAACACAUGCAAGUCGAGCGAUCUUCUUCGGAAGAGAGCGGCGGACGGGUGAGUAACGCGUGGGUAACCUGCCCUGUACACACGGAUAACAUACCGAAAGGUAUGCUAAUACGGGAUAACAUAAGAAAGUCGCAUGGCUUUCUUAUCAAAGCUUUUGCGGUACAGGAUGGACCCGCGUCUGAUUAGCUAGUUGGUAAGGUAACGGCUUACCAAGGCGACGAUCAGUAGCCGACCUGAGAGGGUGAUCGGCCACAUUGGAACUGAGACACGGUCCAAACUCCUACGGGAGGCAGCAGUGGGGAAUAUUGCACAAUGGGCGAAAGCCUGAUGCAGCAACGCCGCGUGAGCGAUGAAGGCCUUCGGGUCGUAAAGCUCUGUCCUCAAGGAAGAUAAUGACGGUACUUGAGGAGGAAGCCCCGGCUAACUACGUGCCAGCAGCCGCGGUAAUACGUAGGGGGCUAGCGUUAUCCGGAAUUACUGGGCGUAAAGGGUGCGUAGGCGGUCUUUCAAGUCAGAAGUGAAAGGCUACGGCUCAACCGUAGUAAGCUUUUGAAACUGUAAGACUUGAGUGCAGGAGAGGAGAGUGGAAUUCCUAGUGUAGCGGUGAAAUGCGUAGAUAUUAGGAGGAACACCAGUUGCGAAGGCGGCUCUCUGGACUGUAACUGACGCUGAGGCACGAAAGCGUGGGGGGCAAACAGG